UACGAAGGGGCUAGCGUUGUUCGGAUUUACUGGGCGUAAAGCGCACGUAGGCGGUUUGUUAAGUCAGGGGUGAAUCCCAGAGCUCAACUCUGGAACUGCCUUUGAUACUGGCAAGCUCGAGUCCGGAAGAGGUAAGUGGAACUCCUAGUGUAGAGGUGGAAUUCGUAGAUAUUAGGAAGAACACCAGUGGCGAAGGCGGCUUACUGGUCCGGAACUGACGCUGAGGUGCGAAAGCGUGGGAGCAAACAGG
rnacentral:rRNA from 1 species